GAUGAACGCUGGCGGCGUGCCUAAUACAUGCAAGUCGAGCGAACAGACGAGGAGCUUGCUCCUCUGAUGUUAGCGGCGGACGGGUGAGUAACACGUGGAUAACCUACCUAUAAGACUGGGAUAACUUCGGGAAACCGGAGCUAAUACCGGAUAACAUGUUGAACCGCAUGGUUCAACAGCGAAAGACGGUCUUGCUGUCACUUAUAGAUGGAUCCGCGCCGCAUUAGCUAGUUGGUAAGGUAACGGCUUACCAAGGCAACGAUGCGUAGCCGACCUGAGAGGGUGAUCGGCCACACUGGAACUGAGACACGGUCCAGACUCCUACGGGAGGCAGCAGUAGGGAAUCUUCCGCAAUGGGCGAAAGCCUGACGGAGCAACGCCGCGUGAGUGAAGAAGGUCUUCGGAUCGUAAAACUCUGUUAUUAGGGAAGAACAAAUGUGUAAGUAACUAUGCACGUCUUGACGGUACCUAAUCAGAAAGCCACGGCUAACUACGUG
rnacentral:rRNA from 1 species